GUAAACUUGUCAAACACAUCUCUGGAGAACACGAGCGGAGCAGAGACAGGAGCAUCGUUCCUGAGGACAAACAAACCUCUGAACUUUAUACAACUCAGAACAAACACGAGCGAUCUCUGGUUGUGUGAAACUUCAACCAUAUCGACUACAUGAGGAAGAAAGACACAUUGAAUAAGAGCCCAUUACAAGCAGUAAAUUUUAUUAUGGGAUAACAGCACAUAAAGCACAUCUAAAAUCGAUGUGUCCAAUGCACUUUUAAUAAACGUAAUAUUAAAGCGGUAUUUACAAAAUGAAUCAAAAUACUUAUUUUCAUAUUUAAGAAUCAGACAAACAGAAGGAGCAAAA